rnacentral:rRNA from 1 species
UACAGGGGGUGCAAACGUUGCUCGGAAUCAUUGGGCGUAAAGCGCACGUAGGCGGUUCGUUAUGUCGGUUGUGAAAGCCCUUGGCUUAACCGAGGAAGUGCAUCCGAAACUGGCGAGCUAGAGUACUAAAGAGGAUCGCGGAAUUCCCGGUGUAGAGGUGAAAUUCGUAGAUAUCGGGAGGAACACCGGUGGCGAAGGCGGCGAUCUGGGUAGAUACUGACGCUGAGGUGCGAAAGCGUGGGGAGCGAACAGG